AUGGUGGUCGUGUGCAUCUUAGGGACGUGUGAUUUGCGUGUAUUGGAUGAUGAAGCUUUAUUAUAUUUUCUUUUUCAAAACAAAAUAAUAAAAUUUUCUUUUAUGUUAUAUUCCUUCUCUAUAUCUCUCAGCAUCACAUCCCUCCUCCUUCUUCCCCAAACCCAAACCCUUAGCUCAAACUAG